rnacentral:rRNA from 1 species
AUUGAACGCUGGCGGCAGGCCUAACACAUGCAAGUCGAACGAGUGGCGGACGGGUGAGUAAUGUCUGGGAAACUGCCCGAUGGAGGGGGAUACCUACUGGAAACGGUUGCUACUACCGCAUACCAUCGGAUGUGCCCAGAUGGGAUUAGCUAGUAGGUGGGGUAACGGCUCACCUAGGCGACGAUCCUUAGCUGGUCUGAGAGAAUGAUCAGCACCACUGGAAAUGAGACACGGUCCAGACUCCUACGGGAGGCAGCAGUGGGAAAAAUUGCACAAUGGGCGCAAGCCUGAUGCAGCCAUGCCGCGUGUAUGAAGAAGGCAUUCGGGUUGUAAAUUACUUUCAGCAUGGAGACGUUACUCGCAGAGUAAGAACCGGCUAACUCCGUGCCAGCAGCCGCGGUAAUUC